rnacentral:rRNA from 1 species
CCUACGGGUGGCAGCAGUGGGGAAUAUUGCACAAUGGGGGAAACCCUGAUGCAGCGACGCCGCGUGAGUGAAGAAGUCUUUCGGUAUGUAAAGCUCUAUCAGCAGGGACGAAAAUAGCCGUUACUGGACUAAGAAGCCCCGGCUACCUACGUGCCAGCAGCCGCGGUAUUACGUAGGGGGCAAGCGUGUUCCGGAUUUACUGGGGGUAAAGGGAGCGUAGACGGCGUGGCAAGUCUGAAGUGAAAGACAGGGGCUUAACCCCAGACCUGCUUUGGAAACUGCCAUGCUAGAGUGCAGGAGAGGUAAGUGGAAUUCCUAGUGUAGCGGUGAAAUGCGUAGAUAUUAGGAGGAACACCAGUGGCGAAGGCGGCUUACUGGACAGUAACUGACGUUGAGGCUCGAAAGCGUGGGGAGCAAACAGGAUUAGAUACCCCUGUAGUC